UACGAAGGGGGGCUAGCGUUGCUCGGAAUCACUGGGCGUAAAGGGCGCGUAGGCGGCCAUUCAAGUCGGAGGUGAAAGCCCAGGGCUCAACCCUGGAAUUGCCUUCGAUACUGUUUGGCUAGAGACCGGAAGAGGUAAGUGGAACUGCGAGUGUAGAGGUGAAAAUUCGUAGAUAUUCGCAAGAAACACCAGUGGCGAAGGCGGCUCACUGGCCCGAUACUGACGCUGAGGCACGAAAGCGUGGGGAGCAAACAGGG
rnacentral:rRNA from 1 species